rnacentral:sRNA from 1 species
AAAACAAAACACAACAGACUCAUCGUUUCUCAUUGGAUCAGUGCUGGGGCUUCAAAGAGGCCUGCUCAUCCCCAUGCUCUUGCGACCCUUUGCCGGAUGCCUCCCUACAGCAGCCGUGCAGAACAGAACUCUUUCUAAAACGUCACCCACAGCAGACGCCAGUGCUUCAGCCAUGGCUUGAACGUUCUCACGUCUCCCACUAUUAUCUGCAUCUGAGUUCUCUUUACUCCCCUUAAACUACGACCGUGAAAGAGAGCGAUUUCUACAUCAUUUAGUUAUUUAUCUCCGUAAUACUCAGGAGUGAAAUUUUUAAAAGUGGCUACCAUUACUCUUGCUGCUAACAAUUGGCAGCUAUCCUGGGGAAGUGGUACGCGGGAUGAAAUGAGCCCCUGUAGGAAACAUGGCCUUUUCUUGUUUCUAAUAUUUUUUCGUCUUUGGUGUCAUCAGUCAAAUUAAUCUAUUUUCUCUUUCCACAUGACUCUCCAAAGUGAGAGAGAAGUUAAGGGUUUGAAGAGGCUGUUCUGGGCUUCCCACUGAACAUGGGGCUUAGGAUGUGGCUGGGCACCUGCUUCCCUUAACCCCUUGAGAUCUGAGAAUUCAGAACCCUUUCCUGUAGCCUAGCAAAAACAAAAACAGGAACAAACAAGGUGGGGGUGGGGUAUGUGGUGGCAUGGGGUGGGGGAUGUAUUACAGAAUACCAGUGCUGGUAUCAUGUUUCUCUUCCCCAUCUCCAUGUCCUAUUCCUCUUCUUCAUUUAUUAUUGUUUUAAAAAAUAACUCAUUGUGUCCAAUUAGUGGUACCUAUUCAUGGCACCAUCCACUAGAGCUUAAAAAAUACACAGACUCUACCUCAUGCUCAUGUAUACUCGAGGGUACAGACCUGACAGUAUACAGAAGACAAGAGAGAACAAUGUAAAGGGCUGAGAGAAAUACAAGUUCUGAGACUUGGGGAGGCACGGUCUCUAUGUAGGAUCCGUGAGUGCCCGGGCAUACUUGGAACUGACACCCGCCGGGACCUACAGGAUGGAGACCUAGCAGGUUAUUGAUUUUGCAGGUGUCUGAAUUUGAAGUGACAAAUUACUUGGUUACAGUCAGCUUUAGUGUUGCCUUCUUUACACAACUACACUAACACAUUUCUAGGCAACUUUGAGGACUCUUAAAAUUAAAACGUUUUAUAAAUAACAAAGCCACAGAGGGAAAACCAGGUGUAUUUACUAUUAUCAAAGUUCAUCUCCAUGUGCGUGUCUGAACAUAGCAACAGCAGCACAGAGGGAUCGCCUCAGUUACCCUGCUCCUCUGGAUCAUUUAGCUGCUGGCUAUGGUAUAGAGCUUCCAUGGUAUAGGACUUCUAUGUUCUAGAACUCCCAUGGUAUAGAACUUCUAUGGUAUAGAACUUCUAUGGUGUAGAGCUUCCAUGGUGUAGAGCUUCUUGUUCCAUCUCUGACUCCUUCCCCUUGCCCUCUGCUACAUGUGCUAUUCCCUCCAUCCCAUGCCAUUCAGAGAACACAGCCCUACACUCCUGCAGAGGCAGACUCAGGUACCUCACAUCUCUGUGUCUAAUCCCUUUGGGGGGGGGGUGAGGAUACACAGCCACCAAGUCUUGUGAAGCUAUGCCAGCCAUCUCAGCCAUUCCCCCGACACAUUCGUGACAUCCUCCUGCCGUAGAGGCUGAGGAUUUAUGUGACUUUAAUUGAAGGCUACAGAAGGGACAGGGAAACAUCAGCUCCUAUCAAUCACCGCGUCCCUUGCUUUCAUUGUGUACUUAACAGCUUGUUACUUAUUCAGGAGGGGGAUUCUGCACUGAGUCUGUCUCCGUGCAAACAGUCUUCCCAGGCUGAAGAAAGCCCUGAAACAGGGAGGUGGCCUCAUUAGGCACACAGGCCUGUGCCGCAUACCGAAACAUGGAGACACAGUGCUGAUGACCACGACUACAGUGGGGGAGUCAAGGGUUCCAGCAUCCUCCCGCUUUCCUGUCUAUGUCCCCGCAAGACUUCCCAGGCGUGUUUGACACCAUGGCCCUUUGUUGUGUUUUCAAAGCGAUCCUUGCUUGGCUCUUCUCAACAAUGAACUCUGCGACUGUUUAACUGAAAUCUCCUAUGGGGGGAACUUGAUGUCUGGUUUACUGUGCUCUCUUACAGAAUGCCUGCAGCACAGCAGACCCCUGAAGGAGCGAGCAUACGGCUGCAUGCACGUGAGGAAUGCUAACACUCAGUCUUGGUUCUGACUCCCCUUUUACCUUACGCCUCUACGCCAUCUGUAGAGGCUUGAGGACCCUUCAUCUUUAUCUUUUCUAAGGGCCAUCCUUUAGGGGGCUCAUUCAAGACCCAGUACGGUUAUCACCCGGCUCUCAGGUACUGCCUUGGCGUGUGAUGCUGAACUGUUCCUCCUGACCCCCAGGCAGAUCUCAGUCCCAAGUUUACCCGCCCAAGGUUUUGCUUCCCAACUUAGCUCAGCCCACUACCCUGGUGGUCGAAGUUAGGUUCCUACUUGCCAGUCGUUUCCCACUGAGCUACUGAUGUGUCUGACCCUGCGGACAGGCUCUUCUGUGAACCAAGGAAGAUGUCACCUGGGAACCAGUUAGAGGUCGCUUGGGCCUUUGUGUGGUCUUUAAAAUAAGGGGGUUUGCAAGCCAAUGAUGCGUAUUUUCUUAAUCCGUUUCACACAGAAGAAGGGGUUUUAGUGUGAGAUUUGCAAUCUUGUUCUUCAUCUAUUUCCCUAUUUCAACCUGACUACCUGGUUCAAAUUACCAACUGAUACCUGGGUAGGUUAUCAUGCAGAGAUAAGUGCCCCCUGCCCCACUGCGCCCCCAACAAUGGAGCAAACAUGACGGUCACCAUACAUGUGACUUCAGUAGUCCCUGGUGGGUGGGCAUGGAGUGACAGUGACCAUCAUGAGCCAACACAGUGAGCCUACAACCUUGAGCUGAAUAUACAAGGUUCCCAUGGGUCUGACACGCCCCGGGGAGUUUCCAUUCCUCUGCCCUAAACCUCUAGGGUUACUGGGAAUUUCUCCAAGGGCACAGGGAAGUGCUUGUGCUUGGAUUCAGAUUCCCCAAACAACAAGGAAAAAACCCAGGGGGCUCAGCGAGCCCCUCUGGAGGUCUGAACAGGUGAGACUGGCAGCUCUGCCUUGGGUUCCACUGGUGGUGGCCGAGUUGGCAGCCAUAGAGAUUUGCUGUGGCAGAAUACUUAAAGAUGUUCACACAGAGGGACAGAAGGGACAGUCGUUCAUUGUCCUCCUAUGGGACUCCAUCACUUGAAAAGUAAGGCCUAGAAAUUACAAUAUCAGCCGACUUCCAUACAUCCAUUUCCUUCACAAUGGUUGGCAUAUGCUGAGAAGGGAAUGCUCGGAGGGGCUGCUCACCACCACCCGGCCUUGCAAAGAACAAGGACACAGGAAGGAAGAAACGCAAUCACUAGCCCAAGGAAGAGACACCCAGGGAUGGGCACCAUUGUGUAGGAUGAGGUGAGGGAUAAUACAAAUUAUGAUUUCAGACCCUGGUAGGCAAGCUACACCAUGUUCUUUUCACAUCUGAAUCUCUGUACAGCAUGUUCUUGGUGACUACAGUCAAGGUCCUUGGAACACUCACAGUAGCUUACUUGAGUUUUUAAAAAGCCAGGUAUAAAUAUCAAUGCUGCUGCAGAGUACGCAGAAUAAAAUUUAACAUCUUUUGAGGGAGUCUUACUUCUGAGGCGCUGUUUGAAGUGCUUUAAGUGUCCUAUCUCGUUAGAUUUACAAUUCGCCAUCCUGUGAAAUCAGUCCUGUGGUCUCUGCCCUUUGCCAUACGAUCACAGACAGGCCCUGGGCAUGGCAAGUUUCUGGGAACAUACAGAUACUGAGCCAUGAAGUUGAGGGAGACUCUUCCCUUCCUUCUUUCCUUCUGAAGAUAAGGAGGGUCUCCCAGCAGCUGGGCUCUAGCUCACCCCCACUAUCCUCCUGGUUCAGCAGGUCAAGUACCAGAAUAAGGAGGCUGGAGCUUAGCUGACUGCCCCAUCUCAGGAGAACUACAGAGCAAGCAUCAGGAAGACAGGCAUAUACUCUGAGCCACAAGAGGAAGCCAGCAGAGAAACCUGUGUGUCCCACACAGAAUAGCCCUUGGAAAAGUGGUUUUACAUCAGGUCAGUUUCGCCUUUAAUGUGUUUGUUGGCCUCCUGCUGAGACAGAAUAGGUUCACCUUGUGAGCAGGCAAGCUCAGGCUGCCAGCCCUCAGCUCUUCAGAGCCACCCAGAGUUUUCCCAGGGCAAAGGCUUCCUGUCUCCCUCCCUUCAGUGUCCCCUACCUAGCUCUCAUGGUGGCAGCCUCUAUACCUAAAAUAUCAUAGUGCCUCAUGUCCCCCCAGUCCUCUCUGGGUUCCCUUAGUCCCCCCACCCCCGACCCAUACGCCCUGAAACCCAGCAAACCUGACCCUGCCUACAGUUGCCCAAUUGACGCAGAGCACAGUUCCGAACCCGUUCUCUCCCAUGCCUCUUUGGAGACUUUUCUUCCCUGUGAGCCACUCCGAGGCUACCACUCACACCUGUUUCAGUGUACCAGGCUGGCACGAUGCUUCAUGUCCUUUGUGGACACAGUGUGGCUUCUUUGGAAGCUUUUUUCAGAAUGGUCUAUGAAACGCCCCACUCCCCACAGCACCAGCCCAGCCUCAGCCUGGCUAUGGAAGCUGGGUGUGUCUGGGGUCCUGCAAGCGGUACCAGAGAGGCAAGGGUGGGAAAGCACCUCCCCCACUUUCCAGAGGCCAAUCAUUGUCUAAGGUAACCGUGAUUCCAAGUACAUGCCCUUUCACAGCUGGCCCACAUUCCAGGACAACAUCCAACAGAGAGCAGAGCCCUUCCAAAGGCAGAAUGAAUGGCUUUCCCGGUAUUAACUCCCUGGUGUUUAAUGUCCGUGGACUCUGCAGAGAGCCACCUCCGAGAAUCCUGCAGGCAUAAUUGCCUUUCUUGCACUAGACCAGACCUCCGCAUCUCAAUGUGGUUGUGGGGCACUGCCCAGAAUUAAGAACUACAGGAGUCAAAGAGACACAGCUGGAUUACUGACCCUAGAAGGACGGGGCGGCCUGCCUGCUCCAGACCUUGCUGGGAGGUGAAGGCUAUCGUGGGAAAAUGACUACGUAUGAGAGACAAGGAGAGUCCACUAGUGAGAGAGACAAUGCACUUAUUCUACGACGGGGUGGACUGCCUCGUCCUCAUUAAUGGUGGAAACUGAAGAGUAAUACUCCAUUUCACUAGGGACUGUUGUUAAAACAAGUCUCAAAGAGGAUAUAAGGAAUGGAACCAUUACCAGACCUGCAACCCACUGAUGAUGCAGAAGCCACUCGGCCAGGAAAACAAGAGAAGGGGCAACAGAGAAGUGAGAGAUCCCCGUGAGUGCUCAUCAUCCAACAUGAGGGCCAGCACUGCAUCUUCUGAGACAAGGCAGAUGGGGAGAAGUUCAAGGGGACAGUGUCACACUGUCUGUCUGGAUGCUGUGUGUCCUCCCAAGGCAAUCUCUAAGAACCAUGCCAAGGCUUCUUAAAAAUGUCCAGCUCAGGUUUCUCCACAUGGAGGGAGUGAAGUUCAGGCCUUGAGCUUUUACUAAAGAGUUUACUUUUUUAUUGACUAGUGAAGCAGGCUCCCUUAGGGUUGUCGAGGCCAGGGAAGGGGGAGGUAAUUUUAUGCUUAUAUGGUGUCCGUUAGUCUCUGGGUGCCAUGACGCCCUCCUUCCUAACCAUGGAGCUGUGCUCUGUCUUAAGAGUAACUAAGGGCUCACAGGGAGGUGCCAUUCACAUGGGUGAAUUUGAUCCUCACCAUGUGAGGUACCUGUUCAGGGCCUGUUCUUCUGUUUCCUAGCUUGCCUUCCUCAUCUACAAUCUGUGGAUACUCUCGACGCCUACCUCUGUACUCACGCCAACAAGCUGGUGAGUUCUGCCCAGGGAUGGAGACCCAUCUGCAUAGAGAGCUGCUCUGCUGAGCUACCAAACACUCCUUCCACCUUGAUACACUCGGGAGGCUCCGAUAACUUCCAGGACAGCACAGGAUUUGAACCUUGUGACUAUGGAUGGUAUGCAGCUAGUGAGAGCGACUUCAUCCUACAGUGGCCAUGAGAUGAUGGAUGGACAGCAGAUGCUAUCAAUCUAUGGAUUCUCUGAACUGAAACGACCAAGCCUCUUACUAAGAUUGCUGCAGUUUGGAAUUCGAUAUCUUUUGGUAUCAAACCUACAAUGUGACUGUGAAUUACUGUUUCCACGUGGGAAGAUGAGAAUGUUCCCCCUGGUACUUCCUACCACAGUGAUUUCCCUCAUGCAUGGAUGAAGCAAUAAAACAUAUGAUGGGUUGGAACUCUGAAAAUGUGAGCCCAGGUAAACCUUUCUUCUUUUUAUGUUUGCGUAUCUCAGGUAUUUCAUCACAGUGAUGGCAAGUCCACCAACACAGGAUAGUAAAUAUUACACACCUAAACAUCCUCUUUUGCUAUUGAGCUUGGGAUCUAUAGAUCUUAUUAUUUUUUUUUUUUUUAGAUAAUAGAUCUUUCUACUUUCUUGAUCAUGGAAAGACAUACAAUAUCGUAAAAUCUAGAGACUUCUACUUAUAACCUAAUCGCUCUUAACCCACAAGAGUUAGUUCUUGGGUUGGAAGCUCCAACAGCUUCCCUACACCACCUACAAGGCCUCGGAUGCAGAAGCCUGCUGAUAAUGUCCACCUUCAAGACAAUAGCUGUAAGUCCUCCGCCUUCUGGGACAUUUGGAUGGAGACUGUCUUAGUUAAGGUUUUCACUGCCGUGAUAAAGACCAUGACCAUAAGCAACUCUGGAAGAAAGAGGUAACCCCAGUUCAUAUGUCUCAGGGAUACCAGGACAGGGACUUAAGGCAGGAGCCCAGUGCAGGGGCUAAAGCAGGGGCCAUGGGGGACUGCAGCUUACUAGCUUGCUCCUCAUGGUUUGCUCAGCCUGCUUUCUUAUAGAACCAGCCCAAGAGGUAGCAUUACCUACAAUAACCUGGGUGUUCCCACAUCCAUGUUCUGUUCUAUUGAUAUAGACAGUCUCGGUAAUAGCAACACUUGGAACCAAACACUGCUCAGAAUAGAUUAUGUAAGACCCCUUCCUUUAAUCAUGACCCUGUAGGAGGCAGGAAAGAUUAAGCUGGGGCCAAAGAGGCAAGGGCCAGAAUGGGGAGAGACUAGCUCACAGUGAGGUAUUAUGGUAUACCCACUGGAAAGGGUCAUGGUGCCAAGUGUAGGUGAGGGUGUCAUACAGUGUGAGCUGUCAGAUGCUGAUACUGAACAUGAACAUGAAAAGAAGAAGUAGCUAUUAUGGAGUAAAGAGGAAGAUCCAUCUUAUAUAUCAGUAGCAAGAAGUUGAUAUUAUGUGCAUCCUGGGGGCUAAAUAAGAAUGUGCCUAGCAAUACUGUUUACAAUCAACAACAACGUUACUACCUUAUCAAGUUGAUGCUAUUCAGUAACCACAAUGAAUGGACUACAGUUACGAACACCAGACUGGAUUAGCAGCAGUCACUACUCGUGCACAGUGACUGAGCAAUGGGCCAUGAGUACAGAGAGGAAAUGAUGUUCCUUAAUUGAAACAUUUACAUGCAUCACAUGUGUGUCUAUGGAGGCAAGAAGAGGACACUGGAUCCCUGGAACUUAAGUUGGGAGCUGCCUUGUGGCUGCUGGGAACUGAACCCAGGACCUCUGGAAGAACAGCCAGCGCUCUUAACCGCUGAGGUAGUACUACAGCCCCUGACUUUUUAAUUAUAUUUAAUGUCAAUGACUUUAAAUUUAAAUAACCAUAUUAGCUAGAUAUUUACUAUGUUGUGGACUUGGUAUGACAGUGUAAAACAGCCAACUUACAAUUUCCUAUUUACUACAUGUUAAAAUGACAAUAUUUGUGCUAUCCUAACUUAAAGAGUUAUUCUACAUCCACACUUUGUUUCUAUUUAGCAUGCCUAUUAUCAAUGUUCUGAGAUGUUUUAUAUAUGGCUCAUAUUAUACUACAGGCUACAUUUGUUUCUGGGAUGAUUUUGCUGGGAGGUAUUCAAAACAGAAGAAAAAGGAAAAAUUAUUACUAUAAGAUUCUCUUUCUCACAUAUGGUAUGUAUGUAUGUAUGUAUGCAUGUAUGUAUGUAUGUAUGUGUUACACAUCUAACUCAGAAGUCAUGGACAUCAUGCUAGGGAAAUACACUGUCACAGACCACAUCCCAGUUCAACAGUCUCUAUUUCAGUGGAUGAAGCAGCAGGCUGUGAUCAGAACAAGGGUGCUGGCUACUGUCUAGGUCUAGACUUGAUUGGUGGCUUCACGAACUUUUGCUUUAUAACAAUAUGUGAAAGCAUCUGCCUUCAGGAUGUUAUGCUGUGUGAAGCACCGUGUGCAACAGAAUAAAAAGGCAACCACCGUGAGACUCUGGCCCCGAGGUUUAGCGGCAGGAAACUACACAAAGAAAUAGAAUGGCCAUUAUUUGGGCCUGGGAUGAGUGAGGGACAGAGGGCUUUUUUAAGAAACUCUAUGCAGAGGUUCAUGUUUGCAAGAUGAAAAGAAUUCUGAAGACGGGUGGUGUGAUGGCUGUUCAGUUGUGCGAGAAGGCAAAUGCUACGCUGUGUGUAGUCCAUACAACUCAGAAAGCGUGAGUGCACUCAGUCCAUCUCCUCCAUCUCUACUCUAACCCUGACUCCUCCAUGGAAACGUCACCUUCAAGGAUGGCAAGGACACACACGGAGUUCCAGCCCUGAGUCCUUUGCUGGAACCAUGUCCCUGGCAUGGCUUGCUCCCUUUCGCUUGUGGGGUAUUGGCAGUAGUAACAAGGACGCUACUUUGGUGAUGGAGAAGUCACACAUUAUUGGCGUCUAUUUGCCAGACACUGCUAAGAAUUAGAAAGAGGUUCUGACAUAUUCUUGUGGUGUUAAAAUAAGAGUGAACAUCGAGAACUGAAUCUGCCUUCUAGGAAGGUACAAUUGUUCCUUGGUAUACGGUGGGGUUUGGUCUCAGAACUCCAUAAAUGCUCAAAUCUAUGGAUAUUCAUAGUCUUUCUAUAAAAUGUGUACAUUUUGCUUGUAACCUAAGCAAACUCUCCUGAGUACUUUAAAUUGGCUCUAUGGGGUACAAUGGAAUCGCGAGGUAAAUCGCUGCUCUCCCUUACUGUUUCUGGCAUAAUGACUGGAAAUUUGCACCCCUUCAGUAUAAGCACAAGUUUCCCUCCCAAAAUUUCAAUCUGAGGUUGGUUGACUCCUUCGAUGUGCUGCCUAGCAAGAUGGUGAGCUAACACUAUAAACAGGCUAGCCUCCAGAAGGAGCCAGCCUACAGAAAUCACAGGGAGGACCUUUACCAGUGGAAAGCAAGGUGGUUAUUGUGGGUGUGCUGUUUAGUGCCAAGUGUCAGCUUGGCACAGAUUAGAGUCACCUGGAAAAUGACCUCAGAGUGACUGCCAAGUUAGGUGGGCCUGUGAGCAUGAGAUGAUGUUAAUUGAUGUGGGAAGACCCAGCCUAGAGUAGGUGCCACCAUUCUGUGUUUUGGGAUCUCAGACUACGCAUGCAUGAGCUCGCUGUCUCCCUGCCCUUGAGUGUAGGUGUGGCCAACUGCUUCACUGUUCCCUGCCUUGGUUUCCCCAUAAAGACACUGUGACCCAGAACUGUGGGCUGAAACAAACCCCUUUUGCCACCAACUUGCUUUUCCUGUGGUAUUUUAUUAUAAUAACAGAAAGGGAAGGAGGCUAAUCCCUCAUCCUUCUAUAGGUUUGUGUGAAAAGCAUCCUUGCUAAAUAGCAAUUUAAUAAAUAGGAGGGUAUAUAACACACACACACACACACACACACACACACACACACACACACACACACACUGAACCACCAUGGAAAGAGGCAAUGUGAGUGACCCUUUUAGGUUCAAAGCCUCUGCUCAUUGCUGCUGUGGCUUCCAGCAUCUAACCUGAAGUCUAGUAGCCAGUGAACCGCAAAAUCAACAUUGACUUGUUGGGAACAAAUAGUUUGCAUCGCCAGAUUUUUUUGUUUUGUUUUGUUUUUGUUUUUCAGAUUCUACCUUCUCUUAAGUCAGAUAUGUACUGAGAUGAAUACACCAUAACCAUUCUUUUACGGAGGCGAAGUUAUUCUCUGAGGUAAUCGUGAAGCUGAGUCCUAGCAAAGGUUUGUAAGGAGAUGCCUAGCAGACAUUUCUAGCAUGUAACAAAUGCCACCAGGGUCACCCAGAAUGAAGAACGAAUGCCCAGACUCACGGACAGUCCCUGUUCUGAAGGCCACCAGCUGGGCCUUUCUAGGCCAAGGACCUGGGCAUUGUUGUUGAAUGGAGGAGGAGGAGCGUUCAGAGAACUCCACUGGUCAUGUAUAAAUUUGGGAAGUCCAACAGGAUCUACGGCUACCGGUUGUUAACCAUGGAAAUGGUAUGGCCAACACUUCAAAGACUUAGUGUUUCUGGAGGUCCCAGCCAGGUAAGUUUGAGAUGACUCAGACAUCGGCAUUAUUGACGCCCAUCUAAGCAUCUAUCCUAGCAUGAGGUUUUCCUCUGGUUAUGCCAAAGCUCUUUCAUGUUCUUAUUUUGUGUUGAAUGAAAACAUCGGAAUUUCCAGAAUCCCGGAUAUCUGCAUUUGAAAGACCUCAAUGGGGGACUCGGAGGUCCUUGACUUUGCCGAGCUUCAGUAAGGAGGGACAUGUCUCCUCUCUUAGGACUGUUGGGAGGACUAAGUACAACCAUACAUGUCAGUCCUGGAACAAGGCCCUGUUCAUUCCUUCAUCAGUCAGAUUUUCCUCGCUGAGACCAGACGCCAGAGAGAGAAACUCAGAGGAGCAUGUUCCAAAGCUUCUGAGGCCUUGGUCUGAUUCUGGCGGAGCAGAGGGGACAGAGGAAUACAGGAGAGGCCCAGGGAAAGCAAGCAGUAGCACUGAGGACGACAUCUCCAGUGACCGCUGCCUCCUGACUUUCACCAGUUCCCAAUGAGGCCGUCUAUGUUAACGGCUCUGGCAGGGGAAUCUAUCCACUGACAGUGUUAGAGUCCUCAGGAUCGGAUCAUUCUCCCAGACCCAUCAGCCGGGAACCAAGUCACUAACAGUUCCUACUCGGAAGACUCCCCUCGUUUGUGGGAAUGAAAGCAACAUUCUGGUUUAAGUUUCAGAACAGAAUUCAGAGCCCUGAGAGCAUGCCUUGUGCUUUGAGAACAGAAAAGCUUAGGAACUGAGAGCUCUAAGUAGCCGGCCCCUGGGGGUGGAGGUGGGGGUGAGGACCAGAACAGCGCCUAAUUUUGAAGGGAAACAGGAAGAGGUCUGAGUCACACUCAUCAGCUCUCACACCGGGAUCUCCAGGCAGCUACUUAGUAACUUUUCUAUCCUCCUCCUGUGCUGUGAAUCAAAGAGCUUAAGAUCCCAGGCUCUGGAGCCAGCCAGAAUUCUGGUGUGAACCCUAGUCCUGUCACUUUCUGGUUAUGAGACCUUGAACGGAUUGAUUAGUACCUCGAUUUCCCCUGCUGUAAAUGGGAUCAGUAAUACUGCGGACGUUUCACAGCAUGAGGGUUGAGUGAGUUAAUAAAAUGUGUUCACAAGAGAGGGAAUGCUAGCCAUCACAGUUUUAGGGCUGAAAAUGGCAUAGCCUAAGACCAGAUCAUUUUUCACCUGGACUAUUUCAUCUGUCUGUCUGUCAUAUAGAUCUAUGCUGACAGAAGUUUUUCUUUUUUCUUUUUUCUUUUUUUUUGG